UACGUAGGGUGCAAGCGUUGUCCGGAAUUAUUGGGCGUAAAGAGCUCGUAGGCGGUCUGUCGCGUCGGCUGUGAAAACCCGGGGCUCAACCCCGGGCCUGCAGUCGAUACGGGCAGACUAGAGUGCGGUAGGGGAGACUGGAAUUCCUGGUGUAGCGGUGAAAUGCGCAGAUAUCAGGAGGAACACCAAUGGCGAAGGCAGCUCGCUGGAACGGUACUGACGCUGAGGCGCGAAAGCGUGGGGAGCGAACAGG
rnacentral:rRNA from 1 species